UGCCUGUGUGUAUGAGCAGGAUCAGAAAGCUAAAGCCAAAAUGAGAUGAGGCUUCCAGAAAAUGUGUGGGACCCCCAAAAGGGCUACCUUAUUACACGAAAAGCAAAAAGAACAAGAAGGGAUGGGCACGCUGCUUUCAGCAAUGGAUGAUCUUUGAACUGAAAAGGGCAGAGAGCAUUGAAAGAGCAAACCCAAGGCGAGUGAGGAGACUGUCAGAGAAUUCCCGGUGCUGAGUGAGCUCAGGCUUCCGACUUGGACGAGGAAGACACGAGGGGUUAAGAGUGACACGCGUGGCGAGAUUGUGGGGAAAUGGAGUGGCGCCCAAGGACCACACAUGGGUGAAGAUAAUCGUGAUUUACCGAAAGAGAAGACGGCAAAAUUCCACCUGUUAUUCGUGAGAGAUUCCCAAAAGGAAAGGCGGCGCCGCUCACCAGGCACCAACUUACGUUCACGGAAGCAAGUCAGGCCAGACUGACCUCGUUUCCUCGUUAAAACUCUAGGCCACCGUUUCAGGAAAACAUCAACGUGUGCGUCUGAUUUUCCAUCAUCAAGGAUGCUUGUAAAUCCCCAGAGAAGUGAUCUCCCUGUCUACAUGACAAGACCCCUCUCCAGCCACGGUUCCAGAUUCUGUGGGGACAGAGCGAGAGAGCCGACGGGAGCAGCCUCCCUCCUGUACCUUCAAGCCUCUGAGAGGCCUUCCCAGGGCAACCCGGGCCCCUUGCUGUCGUGCAGCCCUCGUCCUCUUGUUUUCUCUGCCACUGUGCUGGGAGAGAACCCCCAGCUCUGCAUCCCCAAAGGUCCUCAGAAAUUCUCUACAGACUCUGAAUCAGACCAUCCAGCACAGGGGCAACUGAUUACAGAAAGGGGGACCCCAUCGUGUCCUCCUGACCCGGAGAAGAAGCCAACAAGCUCUGUCUUCCCUCCCUCAUUUACCAGGACUACUGAAGAGUCCCCUUGAGCCAGGUCAUCCUGCAUAUCCUCCGGCAAAGAUCAGCAUCUUCCCUGCACUUUGUCCCCCAAUGUAACCCAAGCUCAGGUCAUCCACCAACUUGAGCUGCCCAAUGUCUCCUGUGGGCCUCAGCCACUGUGCACACCAGCAGCCUCCUCCCAAGGGAGAGCGUCUAUGACAACCACAGGGUACCCACGUGGGCCUUCAGAAGGUCCCAGGAUGUAGGGCACGAGGGUUAGAUACUGAGACGUCGGGUCUCAGGGAAAAGGAGAUGCUGGCCCAUCUUCCCUCUUCCCCACCUGCAGGCGGCUGUGGCUUCAGACAGGCAUGCUCUGGCCCCCACCGUUCUGUUUCUCUUGUCACAGAGGAAGCCUCGGUUCUGCCUUCCUAGUGACCCAAACUGCACCGCCACGUUCACAGGGGCUGCACCGAGAACUCAUUAGAGUCCCUCUUAGGGCCAGGCCUCUGCCUAGAAAGUGAUGCCUGGGGCAGGCCCAUCAGAUGCAUCCCGAUCAUUCAGGAGGCACCCAGCCAAGCUCGAGCGGCCUUUCGCAAUGGCCUUGGUUUCCAGAUAGACAGCUGGUCUGCAAGAGUGGAAACCCUGAGCUGUGUCUUUCCCCAAAUCACCAGCAUUGCUCAACUUCCUCUCCUCCCCGCACCAUGCCCUCCAGCACUCUCCACCUCCCAGAUUUCUAAUGGGGAGGUUUUGUUUCUUCUCUUUCAGCAGCACAGAGCAACUUUGCUCUGACUCUCUCAAGACACAGGGGGGAGGUAGUGGCACAGCACAGGACCCACCCUUCCUCAGCUCCAUGCCUCUCCCAGACCCCAUUCCUAAGAGUGUCUCCGUGUCAAAUGAAUGGGCUGGGAGGCACUUGAGAGACCUAGACUAUGCCAGAGCCUGCCACUUCCCGCCCCCCAAACCUCUGUUUUAUCUUCUAUUUCUACAGCAAACUCACCCCCAUAUUACUACGUAACUGACCCUCUACCUCUACUCUCCACCACCACGGACCCAAAUAAAGCAGCAAGAAUAACUUUCCUCUUGAGUUCUCCCAGCUGAGAAAGCGACAGGUCCCUGAUCUCACGAAAUCCAAACUCUCCCACGUGGCUUCAGUGACACCCCUUGCGUCUCCUUCUUCAGCUUCACUUCUCACUUCAGAUGGCAGUCUUCACAAGACUGUGACCCAAUUUUCCCGAAAUGCAAUUUAUAAAUAAAUAGCGUCCCAUUUUACACAAGAGGGCGGCUGCGGGAAGAUAUGUUGACUCCAACAAUGAAUUCGGUAACCUUAGAUCUUCCCAGUUCACCUGUUUGGCUCAAUCAAAUGUGUGAAGACCAGGUGUGCAUGGAAAAUAAUAACAAUAGCAUUUCUCCUUUAUUGUCUAGCCGUUCACAGUCUGCAAAGAGCUUUCAUUUGCAGUCUGACUGAUGUUGAGAAACCCUGGUGAGAGAGCUGGGCACACUUUUAUAGGUAAACAAGUGGGCUUGGAGAGGUCCAGCCACACCAGUCGGGCACAUGCUCUACACUCUACAACCUAUAUGGUUACAACUGAACUCUUAGCCAGAGCCAACUUGUUUACUAAACCCCUGCUCUGACCUCUGAUGAGAACCAAAAGGAGAAAGUUUUUCAGAAAACCUAGAGUGGGUACCUGAAGAAGACCAUCCCUGAGGUCAAACAACCUCUAAACAAAUCAGCCUGUACUAUCGUCAUGGAAGCAGGUUCUGGUCUUAGUUGCUCGCACACCUCCCACCAAACCCCCAUAAUACACAGUUUUAUUCUUUCUCGGGAGGAACCUUUUCCAGUCUGAAGGGAGACAGAUUGGAUGUUGGGCCUGUGAAGUCCAAGGUCACUGCAGGCUGACACUGUUGAGAUCACCUGGACUAAACUCCAUCGGGCAGAGGUCCCAGGAGCUCGCUCUUCUCUGAGAUUUCCACAGGUGGGUGACGUACCGAGAGGGGAUAGUCUGGAGCCCUGAACUCCAGCCCCCAGACAAAUCAGCCAGUCCGGUCACAGUCUAUGGCCAAAUUCGCAUCAAGCACCUUCUGCAAAGCCCCAUAGGGGAUGCCUGUCCAGCCUCAUUCAACAGCCUCAAAUAGCACACAGUGUUUUUUUGGUCAGUGGUUCUCCAAUCUGGCUGUACCUGAAUAUCACCUAAGAACUGACCCCUGUAUCCCCCGUAUGCAUUCAUCCACCCCUAACAGAUUGCUUUGCUCCACCCAGGAUCGGACUCAUCUGGUCUGAGAAAGGGCCACUGUUCACCACACUCGAAAUCCGGCUGUGUUACAGAAGAACAUUCUAUGUCAGAGUCUAAAGGAGGAAAAAA